UACGUAGGGGGCAAGCGUUGUCCGGAUUUAUUGGGCGUAAAGAGCUCGUAGGUGGUUCGGUAAGUCAGGUGUGAAACCUCCAGGCUCAACCUGGAGACGCCACUUGAUACUGCUGUGACUGGAGUCCGGUAGGGGAGCGUGGAAUUCCUGGUGUAGCGGUGAAAUGCGCAGAUAUCAGGAGGAACACCAGCGGCGAAGGCGGCGCUCUGGGCUGGAACUGACGCUGAGGAGCGAAAGCGUGGGGAGCAAACAGG
rnacentral:rRNA from 1 species